ACACCUACGGGUGGCUGCAGUCGAGGAUCUUCGGCAAUGGGCGCAAGCCUGACCGAGCGACGCCGCGUGUGCGAUGAAGGCCUUCGGGUUGUAAAGCACUGUCGAGGGGGAGAAAACCCCACAAGGGUUGAUCUAUCCCUGGAGGAAGCACGGGCUAAGUUCGUGCCAGCAGCCGCGGUAAGACGAACCGUGCGAACGUUGUUCGGAAUCACUGGGCUUAAAGGGCGCGUAGGCGGGCUGCCAAGUCUGGGGUGAAAUCCCACGGCUCAACCGUGGAACUGCCUCGGAUACUGGCGGCCUCGAGGGAGGUAGGGGCGUGCGGAACUGUGGGUGGAGCGGUGAAAUGCGUUGAUAUCCACAGGAACUCCGGUGGCGAAAGCGGCGCGCUGGACCUCUUCUGACGCUGAGGCGCGAAAGCUAGGGGAGCAAACGGGAUUAGAUACCCCGGUAGUCCUAGCCCUAAACGAUGGGUACUAGGUAGUAGACUUGACAUGGGUUUACUGCCGAAGCAAAAGUGCUAAGUACCCCGCCUGGGGAGUAUGGUCGC
rnacentral:rRNA from 1 species